CCUACGGGAGGCAGCAGUGAGGAAUAUUGGUCAAUGGACGGAAGUCUGAACCAGCCAAGUAGCGUGCAGGAUGACGGCCCUAUGGGUUGUAAACUGCUUUUAUGCGGGGGUAAAGUGAGUGACGUGUCAUUCAUUGCAAGUACCGCAAGAAUAAGGACCGGCUAAUUCCGUGCCAGCAGCCGCGGUAAUACGGAAGGUCCUGGUGUUAUCCGGAUUUAUUGGGUUUAAAGGGAGCGUAGGCCGUCAGGCAAGCGUGUUGUGAAAUGUCGUGGCUCAACCAUGGACUUGCAGCGCGAACUGCCCGACUUGAGUGCGCAGAAAGCAGGCGGAAUUUGUGGUGUAGCGGUGAAAUGCUUAGAUAUCACGAAGAACCCCGAUUGCGAAGGCAGCCUGCUGUAGCGCUACUGACGCUGAAGCUCGAAAGUGCGGGAAUCAAACAGGAUUAGAUACCCUGGUAGUCCGCACGGUAAAUGAUGGAUGCCCGUUCUGCGGCCUUAUGGCUGCGGGACCAAGCGAAAGCAUUAAGCAUCCCACCUGGGGAGUACGCCGGCAACGGUGAAACUCAAAUGAAUUGACGG
rnacentral:rRNA from 1 species